rnacentral:rRNA from 2 species
CAUAUUAAUUAGUUGGUAGGGUAAUGGCCUACCAAGACGAUGAUGUGUAGCUGGACUGAGAGGUUGAACAGCCACAUUGGGACUGAGACACGGCCCAAACUCCUACGGGAGGCAGCAGUAGGGAAUUUUCGGCAAUGGAGGAAACUCUGACCGAGCAACGCCGCGUGAAUGACGAAGUACUUCGGUAUGUAAAGUUCUUUUAUCGAGGAAGAAAAGCAAAUGGCGAACCAUUUGUUUGCCGGUACUUGAUGAAUAAGCCCCGGCUAAUUAUGUGCCAGCAGCCGCGGUAAGACAUAAGGGGCAAGUGUUAUCCGGAAUUAUUGGGCGUAAAGGGUGCGUAGGCGGUCUAGUAAGUCAGUGGUGUAAUGUCAACGCUUAACGUUGUCCGGCUAUUGAAACUGCUAAACUUGAGUUAGAUAGAGGCGAGUGGAAUUCCAUGUGUAGCGGUAAAAUGCGUAAAUAUAUGGAGGAACACCAGAGGCGUAGGCGGCUCGCUGGGUCUUAACUGACGCUGAGGCACGAAAGCGUGGGGAGCAAACAGGAUUAGAUACCCUGGUAGUCCACGCCCGUAAACGAUGAGUACUAAGUGUCGGGUUAAACCGGUACUGAAGUUAACACAUUAAGUACUCCGCCUGAGUAGUACGUACGCAAGUAUGAAACUUAAAGGAAUUGACGGGGACUCCGCACAAGCGGUGGGAUCAUGUUGUUUAAUUCGAAGAUACCCGAAAAACCUUACCAGGUCUUGACAUGUUUUUGCAAAAUGAUAGUAAUAUCGUGGAGGUUACCAGAAACACAGGUGGUGCAUGGUUGUCGUCAGCUCGUGUCGUGAGAUGUUAGGUUAAGUCCUAAAACGAGCGAAACCCUUAUCGUUAGUUGCCAGCACGUUAUGGUGGGGACUUUAACGAGACUGCCAAUGAUAAAUUGGAGGAAGGUGAGGAUCACGUCAAAUCAGCAUGCCCCUUAUGACCUGGGCUACAAACGUGAUACAAUGGCUGUUACAAAGGGUAGCUGAAACGCAAGUUCUUGACCAAUCCCCAAAAACAGUCCCAGUC